GUAGACAUAGUUUAAUUAAAAUUUUAGUUUGUGGUUCUAAAGACAGGGGUUAAACCCCCCUUGUCCACC
rnacentral:tRNA from 1 species